GAUGAACGCUGGCGGCGUGCCUAAUACAUGCAAGUCGAGCGAACGGACGAGAAGCUUGCUUCUCUGAUGUUAGCGGCGGACGGGUGAGUAACACGUGGAUAACCUACCUAUAAGACUGGGAUAACUUCGGGAAACCGGAGCUAAUACCGGAUAAUAUUUUGAACCGCAUGGUUCAAAAGUGAAAGACGGUCUUGCUGUCACUUAUAGAUGGAUCCGCGCUGCAUUAGCUAGUUGGUAAGGUAACGGCUUACCAAGGCAACGAUGCAUAGCCGACCUGAGAGGGUGAUCGGCCACACUGGAACUGAGACACGGUCCAGACUCCUACGGGAGGCAGCAGUAGGGAAUCUUCCGCAAUGGGCGAAAGCCUGACGGAGCAACGCCGCGUGAGUGAUGAAGGUCUUCGGAUCGUAAAACUCUGUUAUUAGGGAAGAACAUAUGUGUAAGUAACUGUGCACAUCUUGACGGUACCUAAUCAGAAAGCCACGGCUAACUACGUGCCAGCAGCCGCGGUAAUACGUAGGUGGCAAGCGUUAUCCGGAAUUAUUGGGCGUAAAGCGCGCGUAGGCGGUUUUUUAAGUCUGAUGUGAAAGCCCACGGCUCAACCGUGGAGGGUCAUUGGAAACUGGAAAACUUGAGUGCAGAAGAGGAAAGUGGAAUUCCAUGUGUAGCGGUGAAAUGCGCAGAGAUAUGGAGGAACACCAGUGGCGAAGGCGACUUUCUGGUCUGUAACUGACGCUGAUGUGCGAAAGCGUGGGGAUCAAACAGGAUUAGAUACCCUGGUAGUCCACGCCGUAAACGAUGAGUGCUAAGUGUUAGGGGGUUUCCGCCCCUUAGUGCUGCAGCUAACGCAUUAAGCACUCCGCCUGGGGAGUACGACCGCAAGGUUGAAACUCAAAGGAAUUGACGGGGACCCGCACAAGCGGUGGAGCAUGUGGUUUAAUUCGAAGCAACGCGAAGAACCUUACCAAAUCUUGACAUCCUUUGACAACUCUAGAGAUAGAGCCUUCCCCUUCGGGGGACAAAGUGACAGGUGGUGCAUAGUUGUCGUCAGCUCGUGUCGUGAGAUGUUGGGUUAAGUCCCGCAACGAGCGCAACCCUUAAGCUUAGUUGCCAUCAUUAAGUUGGGCACUCUAAGUUGACUGCCGGUGACAAACCGGAGGAAGGUGGGGAUGACGUCAAAUCAUCAUGCCCCUUAUGAUUUGGGCUACACACGUGCUACAAUGGACAAUACAAAGGGCAGCGAAACCGCGAGGUCAAGCAAAUCCCAUAAAGUUGUUCUCAGUUCGGAUUGUAGUCUGCAACUCGACUACAUGAAGCUGGAAUCGCUAGUAAUCGUAGAUCAGCAUGCUACGGUGAAUACGUUCCCGGGUCU
rnacentral:rRNA from 1 species